AAAGGGAGCUGGAUGGUCGCCCCCCUGGUUAGAUUUGCGAAGCAAAUCUAGGGGGGAGGAAAGUCCGAGCUCCACAGGGCAGCGNNGACGUGAAACGCGGCAAUCUCUACGCGGAGCAAGGCCAAACGUCUCGCUUCUCGGGUGGCCCGCCCGAGUCCCCGCCUGACGGCGGGGCGGUGAGGAGGUAGGCCGCAGGAGCUCCGUUGCAAAGCGGGGCCAAGAUGGAUGGCCAUCACUCCCAUACUUUCCUGCCCCUCUCACGAGGGGAAAGUAGCAUGGGGGCACAGAACUCGGCUUACAGGCUCCCUUUCGGU
rnacentral:RNase_P_RNA from 1 species